AUUUAUUUCUCAUCAUUUAGGUAUACUUUUGAGUACCAUAAAUAUUUAUUCCUUAUUUAUUAUAUAGACUAUAAAAAUUUUAACUUGAUUACAGAGUGAAUUUUUAUUAUUUUCUGAGUAUAAACCUGAUAACACGAUUAUUACAGAAAAUUUAGAAAAUACUGAAAAGGAUAAAGAAGAGAAAAAAUUAUCUGCAACUUCACUAUCCAGAGAUAACACUGUUAAUAUUUUUUGUAUUUCCUCUCAGUCUUUGUCUAUGCUAUUUAUAUGUAUGAGUGUGUAUAUGUGUUUGUGUGUGUGCAUAAUAACAAAAUUGAGAUUAUAUUGCCCAUAUAGUUGUAUAUCCUACUUUUUAUAACUUAACUUCCUAACUACUCCCCCAUGUCUUUGAAAAUGUGAUUUUUUAAAAAAAUGGCUGCCUAAUAUUUUAUUGUAUGAAUAUAUAUCAUAAUUGAACCAGUUCUCUCUUUGGAUAUUAGAUUGUUGCUAAUAUUUCACAUUUAUAAAUAAUAGUAGGAUGGACAUCUUUGUAUGUGAAAUUUGAACUCUAUGUUAGACUAGUCCUUUAAGAUUUAUUCAUGGGAGUGGGAUGAUUGGUUUAGAUGGUGAGAACUUUUUAGGCACUUUAAAAUAUGGCCAAAUUACCCUUCAGAAAGUUUGUACCAAAUUAGCAACACAUGAGUACCCAUCAUACUGCCCCUUCUCCACUAGUGCUUAUUUUUAAAAAAUUAUUUUGACAGUUUCAUAAGCAAAUAAUUGGUUGUAUUUUUGAUCGUUCUAGUAAGAGUGGCUUUACCAUGAAUCUGUGUUUUUUUCCUUCUGUGAUCUUAUAGUUGACUAAUAGAAAACACAAGAGGAUUGCUUAGCUUAAGUGGGUGACACCCCUGUGAAUGUUUACUGUACCUUUAAAACUCUAGAGUAUUUCAACAUCACUUUACCCUUUCCUAGCAUAUGAGCAUAACUUUCAUACUUAGUUAUGAAGUAGAAAGAGUUCCAAACUGUACUGGGUUCUAGUUCUGUCUGUGCUACUGAUUAGUUCUCUUACCAUAAAUAUUUCAUGUUCUAUUGAGACAUUCUCAUCUAGAAAAUGCAGAAGUGAUCUCUUAAGGACAUUCUAGUAUCAAAGUAUUUUAAUGUUGGGACUAUUCUUUAGAGAUUCUGGUGUCACUUAAAUGUUAAAAACCUACAUGAUUAAAUUAGGUUAGAAGUUUUAUCUUGAUUUCAACUCUACAUGCAUAAUAUUGAAAGUCUUCUUUUAACACAAAAGGGAAAUUAAUUUGCAUAAUUUAAUAGUUACUAUUACCUAAAUAAUAAGCUUUUCUACUUUAAGUGCCUUAAAAGUGUUUUAUAUUUGAAAUCUAAAAGGUAAAGGAAAUUAUUAUAUAGUUCUAUACAGUUUCUUUUUUUAUGUAUUUUUGAGUUAUUUGCAGCAACUUUUUUUUUAACCGUAGAUUGCACAGAGCAGUAUAUUCAUGGAUUCUUCACUGUUCUACUAGGGAGUCGUUGAGAAAUGUAUGGUAAAGAUUAGCUCAGUGAGCAGAUCAGCCUAGAACACUCUCAAGAAGGAAGCAGAUGGAUUGUGUAGUAAAAUAGAGAUACUGAGAUUUUUGAGCAUGAGGAUUUUGUCAAGUUCAAUGAAGAAGAAUGUUCUUUCAAUGAAGAUAAUGAGGCUUUUAAGUGGAAAAUAUGGUACAAAAAUAUGAGUAGUUAAAACUAUUUUUACAAAUAUUAACUAUAUUGAAAACAAAUUAAAUAGAUUAUUCCCAAGAAAAAGAUACUGUAGGUUUAAAUUAUCUUAUAUGAUAUGUGGGCAUUAAAGCAGUCAGUGCCAAGAUUUAUCGGUUUAUCUCCCCCUUUUUAGUUAAUUGGAACAGGUAAUUCACUAGUGUAACUGGCUUAAUUCUAUAAUGCUUUUUAUUUCCAACAUUGAAACAGACAUUUUGCUAAGAGAAAAGAGGAAAGAUACAGACCAGUAUACAUCCUCCCACCCUCUUUGUUUUUUCUCCCUCUGUAUAUAAAAAACAACAAAAAUAAAAUAAGCUUGCUUUUAAAAUUCUGUGAAGGUUGCCGUUACCGGAGAGAAAUGUUUUCAGGGUAGUUCUAAAUCUGUAGCUUCUUAUUGUAGAUAAUUUGUUCAUUCUCUGGUAUUCUUAGCCAUAACUUUUUUUAAUGGAGAGUGGAGCUCAGGAGAUAAGAUACCCUCACAGUAAUGCCAUGUGGCUUGGGCACAUGAUUUUGGGCACAUUCUCCUUUUGUUCUCAGAUGCUUGAUCUCCCCAUCCCCCCAGUUAACAAUUCUGGCCUGCCCCAAACCAGCCUCCUUCUUGCGCUCUUUCCCUCGAACUCUUUCCGACUCAUUCUCCCUCCUUCACUGAAACACAACAGGGAGAAUAAGACCCUAUACAUAUGUAGUUACUGUAUUUCAUAUUCUUAACUAUCACUCAUAACUUUAGCAUUAUCUCCUAACAGAGCAGUCCUAUCAGUAAUCCUGCUAUUUUAGUUUAUCGUCCUUCUGGAUGUUGGUGUCAUUUUCCGUAGCCUAUAAGUGUAUUGGAGACAACACCACUUAUAAAGUUACUAUUUUUCAUUGCUUAUGGUAACUGUUUUAAUCUUUUGCCAAAUGAAAACAAAAGUUUUUAAAGGAAAGAAAAAUUAUUUUAUGCAAGUGUUUGUAAACAUGUAUGUAAAUAUGAUGUUUUUCUUUCCCUCCAAAAAAUUAUUAAUAAAAGUGGAUUUUUAGUUUCUU